GUGCCCGGACCCGAGUCCCCACAUCCGCUUUUAUCCGCCCUGCAGCCCGAGCAACACAACAUUAGCCCCCCCCCCCCAUUCUAUGCUGACCCGGGCCGGGGCUCGCCUUUUGGGAAGCCCGUUCACACCGCGGUCCCGGCCCGGCUGGCCUGCCAGUAG
rnacentral:rRNA from 1 species